UGGAACGGCGGCCACUGGCCAGUGCCAGGGCGCGGCCACGGGAAUGGCCACGGCGGGUUCUGGCCGUGGGGGCUGUCGGCCGGCGGCACACCUGGUGUCGGCUGCCCGUCGUCCGGCUCCGGCGCAGGUGGCGAAACGUCCGGCUCCGGCGGCGCGUGGUGCCCGUGGUGUUUGGGCGGCGCCUUCGGGUGGUGGUGCUUCGGCUUGGGUGGCGCUUUCUCAUGGUCCUGGUGCUUGCUCUUCACGUGCUGACCGUGUCCAGUCAACGGCGGCGGCGCGCCAGCGACAGGAGCGUACUCCGG
rnacentral:misc_RNA from 1 species